CUGCAGAGAGUGCACGAGUAAAUUUGUAAACAAAACAACUUGUUGCAUUUUGGACUUUCGCAGUCGAAAAUCAGGAAAUUGAAUCCGAUGGUCUCGCGCAGACCACGUGUGGAGUAUUUAGGCGUUUUGGCCGUUGGCCGCCGCGGCCGCCGCCACCUACAAAGUCCUCGUCUACUGUACCAAAAAAACUCCACAAAGGCAGUCGAUGUUUAAUUGUCAGCAGCAGCUCAGCCUCAACGAGCCGUCCGUCCACCUCAAUUUUGAAUUGGCCAUCGUUGGUCCAUGCGGCCAUCUUCGACUUCACGCCCAAGGUCUCCGACGCCACGUGGACCCUGAGUUUUGGGCAAAGUCAAAUGUGCAACCUCGCUCGAGACCCUGUGGCUGCUGCGAACCCUUUACUGCAUUUAUCUCAAACUGCCUUCCUUGUCAAACUCAUCCACAUUGUCUGGCGCAAAGCAAAAGAUCAAGAUUGAAAACUGGCAGGUGAGGUGGGGUUGUUGUUGGAGCUUUUCUCACCCACAAACGCCCUCGAUCCAAUUUCAUCGCUUCAGCACCCUUGAGGACCAACGCCCUAAUUUGCAGGUAUUGAUAGAUGUCAAUAACUCUGUCCAUGAAAGCGAGCUAAAAUUUUGGGCGGCGAAAAUAAUACAGCAAAGACCUUUGCAAUAUUGAGUGAAAUUCAUUAAAUUUAUUGCCCUAUGGAGAUGCGAAUAAAUAAAUGGCAUCUUUCUUCGGCCGUUUUGAACAUCAUUUCAAGCAAAUACAGACGGAAGUUAUUAACGUCACCAGAGUUUAAUUCAGAUAAAUUAAUUUUUAGCCUAAAUUCAAUGAAAGAUGAAAUCAAUAAUUUCAAGAAGAGAGAACUAAUUGUAUCAUCAGUUGGUCUCAGGUUCUUAUGCCAAUUCCAGGCAGGAUGAAAAAUGAUGAAUUUUAAUAAAUUGUCUCAAGCUAGAAAAAGUAAAGCGAGGCUGGCUUUUGUAGCCUUAAUUUUUUUAGCUUUUUAAAUAAUAAUCAUGCCUUGACUGUGCUUCUGUUCAGCUUUUGCAUUUUCUUCCAAAUCUUGACAAAUUAUUUACCACGGAUUUUCCCCAAGCAAUGCAAUCUUUUAAAAUGUAUGAAAUUUUUCUCUUUGUAAACUUUUGCUACUCUUUUUGUUCUCAAUAAAGACAUGAUUGGAAAA